rnacentral:rRNA from 1 species
GACGAACGCUGGCGGCGUGCUUAACACAUGCAAGUCGAACGGAAAGGCCCUGCUUUUGUGGGGUGCUCGAGUGGCGAACGGGUGAGUCACACGUGAGUAACCUGCCCUUGACUUUGGGAUAACUUCAGGAAACUGGGGCUAAUACCGGAUAGGAGCUCCUGCUGCAUGGUGGGGGUUGGAUAGUUUCGGCGGUUGGGGAUGGACUCGCGGCUUAUCAGCUUGUUGUUGGGGUAGUGGCUUACCAAGGCUUUGACGGGUAGCCGGCCUGAGAGGGUGACCGGCCACAUGGGGACUGAGAUACGGCCCAGACUCCUACGGGAGGCAGAAGUGGGGAAUAUUGCACAAUGGGCGGAAGCCUGAUGCAGCAACGCCGCGUGCGGGAUGACGGCCUUCGGGUUGUAAACCGCUUUCGCCUGUGACGAAGCGGGAGUGACGGUAAUGGGUAAAGAAGCACCGGCUAACUACGUG